UGGAUUCUUAUGUAAAUACCUUUAUCACUGGAAGUGCUUAGAACAACAUCAGAAUCAACUCCUUUAAUUUCUCUUCCGUCCAAACUUCAAAACCAUGUGGAUGCAAAAAGUGGAUGUUUUCUCUUCAGUUAAGACACAACAGUAUUAUUCAUAACGUGUAGGAAUGGAACCCAAUUCGAUCUGUAGUGAGAAAACGAGCUCCAGAAACGUGUUUCAGUGCUUAAAAAAGUGAGAUUAAAAUCUAUUUCCAAUACACAUUUUCCAUUGACUCGAGAACAAUGUGAAUAUUUUGGGAUUUUAUACUAAAAAUACAAUGCUCUUCCUGUCCAGUAUCUCCAUCAACUGUAAAGAUUGUAGAGAACUGUCCAGAUAGUGCAGAGAAAUGGAAGGAAGCUGCUGCAAGAAAGAACUGUGCAGUUUAUGCCAAUCAAUGUGAUGAACCUGGGAGAUUUGAGUAUCAUUGUGUCAUUAACACAUCUGUGAAUGAGACAUUGGAAAUAUGUGCUUAUCGGAAGACAAUACAUUUAGGUAGCUGCACAGAGUACAGUGAAUCUGCAAAUUUAAUUCAACAAAGUUUUAAAGCCAAUUGUAGUUUGUUUUCACAAAAACAAUGUCCAUAUAGUUACAAUUCAAGUGAGGCGUACAAGUACCCUGGCUGUUAUGACUUGACUAAACAUAAAAAGAAUCAGACCACUAUUGGAACUACACAACCUUCACAUACAGCUUCCACUACCAUUCUGAAAUAUAAUACGUCAUCUCAUUUGGAGAGUUCUUGUUUACCAAUGGUUUUUUGGAUAGUCUAUGCGGCAUUUGUGUUUGUUUGUCAGUAAUCGCUGGCAGAUAUUUUGAAAAUUCUUAACGGGAGAAAAAAAAGAUUUUCAACUAUAAAAAGACGUACAUCAACGAAAAACACCAGUGAAGAGUGAAAGAGCAGAUUUGCACUGCAUUGUCUGGUAGUCUUUAAGGUGGGGG